rnacentral:rRNA from 1 species
UUCCUACGGGGGGCAGCAGUGGGGGAUAUUGCACAAUGGGGGAAACCCUGAUGCAGCGACGCCGCGUGUGGGAAGACGGUCUUCUGGAUUGUAAACCACUGUCCCCAGGGACGAAAAUGACGGUACCUGGGGAGGAAGCUCCGGCUAACUACGUGCCAGCAGCCGCGGUAAUACGGAGGAUGCGAGCGUUAUCCGGAUUUAUUGGGUUUAAAGGGUGCGUAGGCGGACUGGAAAGUCAGCGGUAAAAUCGAGAGGCUCAACCUCUUUCCGCCGUUGAAACUGUCGGUCUUGAGUGGGCGAGAAGU